CCUACGGGGGGCAGCAGUCGAGAAUCAUUCACAAUGGGGGAAACCCUGAUGGUGCGACGCCGCGUGGGGGAAUGAAUGUCUUCUGAUUUUAAACCCCUGUCAUGUGGGAGCAAAUUAAAAAGAUAGUACCACAAGAGGAAGAGACGGCUAACUCUGUGCCAGCAGCCGCGGUAAUACAGAGGUCUCAAGCGUUGUUCGGAAUCACUGGGCGUAAAGCGUGCGUAGGCUGUUUCGUAAGUCGUGUGUGAAAGGCGCGGGCUCAACCCGCGGACGGCACAUGAUACUGCGAGACUAGAGUAAUGGAGGGGGAACCGGAAUUCUCGGUGUAGCAGUGAAAUGCGUAGAUAUCGAGAGGAACACUCGUGGCGAAGGCGGGUUCCUGGACAUUAACUGACGCUGAGGCACGAAGGCCAGGGGAGCGAAAGGGAUUAGAUACCCUUGUAGUC
rnacentral:rRNA from 1 species